rnacentral:rRNA from 1 species
UACGUAGGGGGCUAGCGUUGUCCGGAUUUAUUGGGCGUAAAGAGCGUGUAGGCGGCCUGGUAGGUCUGCUGUGAAAACUCGAGGCUCAACCUCGAGAUGUCGGCGGAAACCAUCUGGCUAGAGUCCGGAAGAGGAGAGUGGAAUUCCUGGUGUAGCGGUGAAAUGCGCAGAUAUCAGGAAGAACACCUAUGGCGAAGGCAGCUCUCUGGGACGGUACUGACGCUAAGGCGCGAAAGCGUGGGGAGCGAACAGG